rnacentral:rRNA from 1 species
UACGAAGGGGGCUAGCGUUGCUCGGAAUUACUGGGCGUAAAGCGCACGUAGGCGGCUUUCUAAGUCGGGGGUGAAAUCCUGGAGCUCAACUCCAGAACUGCCUUCGAUACUGGAGAGCUCGAGUCCGGGAGAGGUGAGUGGAACUGCGAGUGUAGAGGUGAAAUUCGUAGAUAUUCGCAAGAACACCAGUGGCGAAGGCGGCUCACUGGCCCGGUACUGACGCUGAGGUGGCGAAAAGCG